AUUGAACGCUGGCGGCAGGCUUAACACAUGCAAGUCGAGCGGAUGAAGAGAGCUUGCUCUCUGAUUCAGCGGCGGACGGGUGAGUAAUGCCUAGGAAUCUGCCUGGUAGUGGGGGACAACGUUUCGAAAGGAACGCUAAUACCGCAUACGUCCUACGGGAGAAAGUGGGGGAUCUUCGGACCUCACGCUAUCAGAUGAGCCUAGGUACGAUUAGCUAGUUGGUGAGGUAAAGGCUCACCAAGGCGACGAUCGUUAACUGGUCUGAGAGGAUGAUCAGUCACACUGGAACUGAGAAACGGUCCAGACUCCUACGGGAGGCAGCAGUGGGGAAUAUUGGACAAUGGGCGAAAGCCUGAUCCAGCCAUGCCGCGUGUGUGAAGAAGGUCUUCGGAUUGUAAAGCACUUUAAGUUGGGAGGAAGGGCAGUAAGUUAAUACCUUGCUGUUUUGACGUUACCGACAGAAUAAGCACCGGCUAACUUCGUGCCAGCCGCCGCCGUAAAAC
rnacentral:rRNA from 1 species